CUUGCUUUCUUUGCUGGCGACCGGCGCACGGGUGAGUAACACGUAUCCAACCUGCCCUUUACUCGGGGAUAGCCUUUCGAAAGAAAGAUUAAUACCCGAUGGGAUAAUUAUUCCGCAUGGUUUGAUUAUUAAAGGAUUCCGGUAAAGGAUGGGGAUGCGUUCCAUUAGGUUGUUGGUGAGGUAACGGCUCACCAAGCCUUCGAUGGAUAGGGGUUCUGAGAGGAAGGUCCCCCACAUUGGAACUGAGACACGGUCCAA
rnacentral:rRNA from 1 species